rnacentral:rRNA from 1 species
UCAGACGAUGCGUCAUGCAUAUCAAUAAGCGGAGGAAAAGAAACUAACAAGGAUUCCCUCAGUAACGGCGAGUGAAGCGGGAAGAGCUCAAAUUUGAAAUCUUGAAAGGUCACCUUUCACGAAUUGUAGUUUAAAGAAGUGUUUUCUGUUACGAUCGUAAUACAAGUUCUUUGGAAUAGGACAUCACAGAGGGUGAGAAUCCCGUCUAUGAUUGCGAUUUGUAGCUUUGUGAUACACUUUCAAAGAGUCGGGUUGUUUGGGAAUGCAGCCCAAAACGGGAGGUAAAUUUCUUCUAAGGCUAAAUAUUGGCGAGAGACCGAUAGCGAACAAGUACCGUGAGGGAAAGAUGAAAAGAACUUUGAAAAGAGAGUUAAAUAGUACGUGAAAUUGUCAAAAGGGAAGCGUUUAACACCAGUGUUGUUUUCUGAAAAUCAACCUCUGUUAGCUUUAUGCAUGUUUGUUUAGACCUAACCAGCUAUCUUGCAUGUUCUAUUGUUUGCAGUGGUGCACUUUUCAGUUUACAGGUCAACAUCAGUUUUUUUUACCGUAAAAAAGUUAAAGAAAGGUAGCUCAUGGCUCCGGUCGUGAGUGUUAUAGUCUUUUUCCUAUGCGGUAGGAGAGACUGAGGUCUGCAGUGUAGGCUAUUUGGCUAGAUACUCAGGUGCUAUGUGAUACCAUUUCAUAAACAACUUGUUGAUUAUGUUUUGUCUAUUGCAUACUCGCUUGUACUAUCAUACCUACGCUUAGGAUGUUGAAGACUCUACAGAGAUA